GGAAUACGAAGGGAGAAUGAAACAAAACUGCUCCGCUUAGGGAACUUGGAAAGGAAAUUGAAAAGGCAAGGCACAGGCUGGAAGAAAAUAUUUGAAAAAGAUUUAUGUGAACUUCUUUCUGGAUUAUACAAAAUAUUUUUAGAUAUUCUUACAACUCUAAAAUAAGAUAACUCCUUAAAAAUCUAAAUUCUACCAAAGGAGAGAUAAAGAUGACGAAUACAUUCAAAGAUGCUGAAAAUCACUUAUUUAUUAUUAGGAAGUUACAAGCUAAAGCAUAAUGAGAUACCACUACAACCUACUAAACUGACUAAAAUUAAUCAGACUAACCAGGUGUUGGCAAGAAACAGGGACACUGAGACUCUCACACUGCUGGAAGGAAUGUAAAAUGCUAAAACUUCUUUGGAAAUGAGUUCAGUAACUUUUUAAACAGUUGAAAAUAGACCUAUCAUGCAAACCAGCAAUCCCACUUCCAGUUGACAUGCAGGCUGGACAUACAGUGGGCCUCGAUUGCUUAGAAGCCAAACUGAACUCACCAAGAAAAGAAGACAGGAGAAACUUCUCAAGAGGAAUAUCUCCAAAUUGCAGGAUCGAAUACCAUAAGAGGAAUUCUGGACUGAAGAGUUAUGAAGUCAU
rnacentral:lncRNA from 10 species